CAGCCGCCACGGUAAUACGGAGGGGGCUAGCGUUAUUCGGAAUUACUGGGCGUAAAGCGCACGUAGGCGGAUCAGAAAGUCAGAGGUGAAAUCCCAGGGCUCAACCUUGGAACUGCCUUUGAAACUCCUGAUCUUGAGGUCGAGAGAGGUGAGUGGAAUUCCGAGUGUAGAGGUGAAAUUCGUAGAUAUUCGGAGGAACACCAGUGGCGAAGGCGGCUCACUGGCUCGAUACUGACGCUGAGGUGCGAAAGCGUGGGGAGCAAACAGGAUUAGAUACCCCCGUAGUCCCUGUCUCUUAUAC
rnacentral:rRNA from 1 species